UACGUAGGUGGCAAGCGUUGUCCGGAUUUAUUGGGUUUAAAGGGUGCGUAGGCGGCUUUGUAAGUCAGUGGUGAAAUAUGGCAGCUCAACUGUCAGGGUGCCAUUGAUACUGCGGAGCUUGAGUACAGAUGAGGUAGGCGGAAUUGACGGUGUAGCGGUGAAAUGCUUAGAUAUCGUCAAGAACACCGAUAGCGAAGGCAGCUUACUAGGCUGUAACUGACGCUGAGGCACGAAAAGUGUGGGGAUCAAAACAGG
rnacentral:rRNA from 1 species